rnacentral:lncRNA from 1 species
CCCUUAAAUUUUUACACCAAGAAGCAUCAUGCCAACCUGAUCCAUAUCAGCCUUGGUACCAUCCCUUAAGGUGCUAGGUUUAAAUAGGAGAAGAGAUAAGAUAUUAAGUGAGAAGAUAAGAGUCCAAACAUCAUAGGACUCUUAAUUUAUGCUGCCCACUACCAAAUCUUUUUGUGCCCUCAUACCUCAUGGGAGAAAGGAGUUUAAGGUGACUUCUUACAUGCUAAAAAGGAGUGGAGAGCAUUGGGAAU